UUUAUAAAAAACUCAACUCUGUAUUUCAGGAGCAAAACUCUUCAGGCUCCUUUUUUAUAAGCUGGUGAUUUUUUUCCUUUGUCUAAAAAACACAAGUAGAAAAUUGACCAAAAAAAUGCAGAAGAAUACUGUAGUUUAGAAAUCAUGCUCUCACUGCCAAACAGAAAGCUCCGGGAGAAAACACUAAGUUGAAGGCAAAUGACUCAAUGCUUGAUUUGCAUAAACUUGUGUCCCCAUGCCCAGUCUCUCCAAUAGUCUACAUAGAGAUUUCCCCAUUUCCUCUCACAUUUGACUCCAAAUGGAUUUUUCCUUUAG
rnacentral:lncRNA from 1 species